rnacentral:rRNA from 1 species
UACGUAGGGCGCAAGCGUUAUCCGGAAUUAUUGGGCGUAAAGAGCUCGUAGGCGGUUUGUCGCGUCUGCCGUGAAAGUCCGGGGCUCAACUCCGGAUCUGCGGUGGGUACGGGCAGACUAGAGUGAUGUAGGGGAGACUGGAAUUCCUGGUGUAGCGGUGAAAUGCGCAGAUAUCAGGAGGAACACCGGAGUCGGCGAAGGCGGUCUCUGGGCCGAUAUUGACGCUGAGGAGCGAAAGCUAGGGGAGCAAACGGG